UACGUAGGGUGCGAGCGUUAAUCGGAAUUACUGGGCGUAAAGCGUGCGCAGGCGGUUCGUUGUGUCGGUGGUGAAAUCCCCGGGCUUAACCUGGGAAUGGCCAUGGAAACUGGCGAACUGGAGUGUGGCAGAGGGGGGUGGAAUUCCGCGUGUAGCAGUGAAAUGCGUAGAGAUCGGGAGGAACAUCAGUGGCGAAGGCGGCCAUCUGGGACAACACUGACGCUGAAGCACGAAAGCGUGGGGAGCAAACAGG
rnacentral:rRNA from 1 species